CAAAGGGUUCAGUGUAUCUCUUACUAACUUGUUAUUUCUGGUGCAGGGUAUCUCCCAGUCGCAAACUUAUCGACUUUCCCUAUUUGUUAGAGAAUAUGACAAUAAUGGGAUAUAUUUAAGCAACGGACUUCGAGCCACAUCUAAUUUCAAUUGCUCCACGUCCAAUUAGCUGAACAGUAAAUGGGUGUAAAAUUCGCAUUGCUGAUUUUUUGUGCAAUGCUCCUUCAGGCAGCUAGUGCAGAUAUGCCGCAAGAUGAGGCCAGAGUGAAAGAAAUUAAUUGGUCUCAGCUUCUUGUGCAGGAACAAAAGGUAAAGAUAUCGCCAAUAAAGCACAAAAAAUUGGCGCACUUACUGAAGGGCAAUACGAACGUCGAGUCUGCUGACUGUCACACUUUAGUGACCGAUGUCUUAGCGAAAAGUGCAGAUGAUUUUCUAACUAAAAUGCGCAGCUGUCCGGAGACGCCUGCAAGUCAAAUUAAUUUUAGAAGUAUACAGAAACCGGCCAGUGAAAUCAAGGAAAUACUAUUGGAUGUACAAAAACAAUGUAGAGGCUUGGCAGGGAACUGCCUAAACACAAAUCUGGCCAAAUAUCACGAAGUCAACAAAUUAGUAAUUCAAAUAGCUAAAAGUAUAAUCUAUAUAAACGCGGCGAAAGCUGAUGUUUGUAAAUUACCGAGUGCGCGGGCAUUACUAGGCUUAGCGAUAACCUUCAUAUCUGAUAUUACUUUUUGCUCACAAAUUUAGGAAUUUUAGAAAUUAAUCGUGUCUUGUAAAUGGAAUAAAAGAGUCAGAUUAAAAUGCAGCUCAAAUAAAACAA